GAUGAACGCUGGCGGCGUGCCUAACACAUGCAAGUCGAGCGAUCUUCUUCGGAAGAGAGCGGCGGACGGGUGAGUAACGCGUGGGUAACCUGCCUCAUACACAUGGAUAACAUACCGAAAGGUAUGCUAAUACAAGAUGAUAUAAGAGAUUCGCAUGGAUUUCUUAUCAAAGCUCCGGCGGUAUGAGAUGGACCCGCGUCUGAUUAGCUAGUUGGUAAGGUAAUGGCUUACCAAGGCUUCGAUCAGUAGCCGACCUGAGAGGGUGAUCGGCCACAUUGGAACUGAGACACGGUCCAAACUCCUACGGGAGGCAGCAGUGGGGAAUAUUGCACAAUGGGCGAAAGCCUGAUGCAGCAACGCCGCGUGAGCGAUGAAGGCCUUCGGGUCGUAAAGCUCUGUCCUCAAGGAAGAUAAUGACGGUACUUGAGGAGGAAGCCCCGGCUAACUACGUGCCAGCCGCCGCGGUAAGAC
rnacentral:rRNA from 1 species